rnacentral:rRNA from 1 species
AUUGAACGCUGGCGGCAGGCCUAACACGUGCAAGUCGAACGGUAACAGGAAGCAGCUUGCUGCUUUGCUGACGAGUGGCGGACGGGUGAGUAAUGUCUGGGAAACUGCCUGAUGGAGGGGGAUAACUACUGGAAACGGUAGCUAAUACCGCAUAACGUCGCAAGACCAAAGAGGGGGACCUUCGGGCCUCUUGCCAUCGGAUGUGCCCAGAUGGGAUUAGCUAGUAGGUGGGGUAACGGCUCACCUAGGCGACGAUCCCUAGCUGGUCUGAGAGGAUGACCAGCCACACUGGAACUGAGACACGGUCCAGACUCCUACGGGAGGCAGCAGUGGGGAAUAUUGCACAAUGGGCGAAAGCCUGAUGCAGCCAUGCCGCGUGUAUGAAGAAGGCCUUCGGGUUGUAAAGUACUUUCAGCGGGGAGGAAGGGAGUAAAGUUAAUACCUUUGCUCAUUGACGUUACCCGCAGAAGAAGCACCGGCUAACUCCGUG